rnacentral:rRNA from 1 species
AUGGAGCGGCAGGGCGACUCGAGGCGGCCUCUGCCGAGGCGCGGGCAGGUGAAGGCGAGCAUAUUCGCGUGCCUCUUCCCGUGCCUCGCCCGCAACCGCAAGGCGGCCGGCGGCGAGCGGAAGGAGGGCAAGGCCAGGGCCAAGGAAGGCGGCAGCGGCGGCCGCCGCGUCGCGCCCGGUGGUUGA